rnacentral:rRNA from 1 species
AGAGUUUGAUCAUGGCUCAGGAUGAACGCUGGCGGCGUGCCUUACACAUGCAAGUCGUGCGGAGAAAGUUUUCUGUGGCAACACAGAGAGCUUUCUUAGCGGCAAACGGGUGAGUAACGGAUGGGUAACCUACCCCAUAGACAGGGAUAGCCUUCCGAAAGGAAGAGUAAUACCUGAUAAUGUUGGAAAAUCUUGGUUUUCCAAAGAAAGGUGGCGCAAGCUACCACUUUGGGAUGGGCUCAUCUCCUAUCAGCUAGUUGGUGAGGUAAUGGCUUACCAAGGCAAUGACGGGUAGCUGGCCUGAGAGGGUGGUCAGCCACAUUGGGACUGAGACACGGCCCAGACUCCUACGGGAGGCAGCAGUGGGGAAUCUUGGUCAAUGGACGAAAGUCUGAACCAGCGACGCCGCGUGGAGGAUGAAGGCCGAAAGGUUGUAAACUCCUUUUGUGAAGGAAAAAUGGAGGGACUCGAAUAGGGUCCUA